AGAGUUUGAUCCUGGCUCAGAUUGAACGCUGGCGGCAUGCUUUACGCAUGCAAGUCGAACGGCAGCACGGGUGCUUGCACCUGGUGGCGAGUGGCGAACGGGUGAGUAAUAUAUCGGAACAUGUCCGGAAGUGGGGGAUAACGUAGCGAAAGUUACGCUAAUACCGCAUAUGCCCUGAGGGGGAAAGGGGGGGAUCGCAAGACCUCUCGCUUUCGGAGUGGCCGAUAUCAGAUUAGCUAGUUGGUGGGGUAAAGGCCUACCAAGGCGACGAUCUGUAGCUGGUCUGAGAGGACGACCAGCCACACUGGGACUGGGACACGGCCCAGACUCCUACGGGAGGCAGCAGUGGGGAAUUUUGGACAAUGGGGGCAACCCUGAUCCAGCCAUGCCGCGUGAGUGAAGAAGGCCUUCGGGUUGUAAAGCUCUUUCAGCCGGAAAGAAAUCGCACUGGUUAAUACCUUGUGUGGAUGACGGUACCGGAAGAAGAAGCACCGGCUAACUACGUGCCAGCAGCCGCGGUAAUACGUAGGGUGCGAGCGUUAAUCGGAAUUACUGGGCGUAAAGCGUGCGCAGGCGGUUUUGUAAGACAGACGUGAAAUCCCCGGGCUUAACCUGGGAACUGCGUUUGUGACUGCAAGGCUAGAGUACGGCAGAGGGGGGUAGAAUUCCACGUGUAGCAGUGAAAUGCGUAGAUAUGUGGAGGAAUACCGAUGGCGAAGGCAGCCCCCUGGGUCGAUACUGACGCUCAUGCACGAAAGCGUGGGGAGCAAACAGGAUUAGAUACCCUGGUAGUCCACGCC
rnacentral:rRNA from 1 species